GACGUAGGGCGCGAGCGUUGUCCGGAUUUACUGGGCGUAAAGAGCGCGCAGGCGGUCGAUCAAGUCGAGUGUGAAAGCCCCCGGCUCAACUGGGGAGGGUCAUUCGAUACUGAUCGACUCGAAGGCAGGAGAGGGUAGUGGAAUUCCCGGUGUAGUGGUGAAAUGCGUAGAUAUCGGGAGGAACACCAGUGGCGAAGGCGACUACCUGGCCUGUUCUUGACGCUGAGGCGCGAAAGCUAGGGGAGCAACGGG
rnacentral:rRNA from 1 species